rnacentral:lncRNA from 1 species
AGCCCUGCCCAGACACACACAGAGGCAGAUUAAGGAGGAGUUUGAGAAGCUUCACCAGUUUCUACGAGAUGACGAGAAGGCCAGGCUAGCUGCAAUGAGGGAGGAAGAGGAGGCCAGGCUAGCUGCCCUGAGGGAGGAAGAGGAGGCCAGGCUAGCUGCCCUGAGGGAGGAAGAGGAGGCCAGGCCAGCUGCCCUGAGGGAGGAAGAGGAGGCCAGGCUAGCUUCCCUGAGGGAGGAAGAGGAGGCCAGGCUAGCUGCACUGAGGGAGGAAGAGGAGGCCAGGCUAGCUGCACUGAGGGAGGAAGAGGAGAGGGCCAGGCUAGCUGCCCUGAGGGAGGAAGAGGAGGCCAGGCUAGCUUCCCUGAGGGAGGAAGAGGAGGCCAGGCUAGCUGCACUGAGGGAGGAAGAGGAGGCCAGGCUAGCUGCACUGAGGGAGGAAGAGGAGAGGGCCAGGCUAGCUGCCCUGAGGGAGGAAGAGGAGGCCAGGAUAACUACUCUGAGGGAGGAAGAGGAGGCCAGGAUAACUAUACUGAGGAAGAGGAGGCCAGGCUAGCUGCACUGAGGGAGGAAGAGGAGGCAAGGAUAACUACACUGAGGAAGAAGAUGCCAGGAUAACUACACUGAGGAAGAGGAGGCCAGGAUAACUACACUGAGGGAGGAAGAGGAGGCCAGGCUAGCUGCACUGAGGGAGGAAGAGGAGGCCAGGAUAACUACACUGAGGGAGGAAGAGGAGGCCAGGCUAGCUGCCCUGAGGGAGGAAGAGGAGGCCAGGCUAGCUGCACUGAGGAAGAAGAUGCCAGAAUAACUACACUGAGGAAGAGGAGGCCAGGCUAGCUGCCCUGAGGGAGGAAGAGGAGGCCAGGCUAGCUGCCCUGAGGGAGGAAGAGGAGGCCAGGCUAGCUGCCCUGAAGGGGGAAGAGGAGGCCAGGCUAGCUGCACUGAGGAAGAAGAUGCCAGAAUAACUACACUGAGGAAGAGGAGGCCAGGCUAGCUGCCCUGAAGGGGGAAGAGGACAGGAAGAGCUGGUUGUUGAACAACAAGAUUAAAAGGAUGAAAAGAGAUGUCAUCACUUUCAGACAGACUCUCUCUCUCCCUAUGCUGUUUGUCUGUUGUUUCUCUCUCCAUCCACUCCGUCGAGGUGUCUGUUUUCCACCUCAUUUGCCGCUCUCUUGUUCCUCUCUCUCGGCUGCCUGCAAAAGUUGCAUUUUAAUAGAUUAAUGAAUGUUUGACGGUUUGAUGGACGGGUCAAUAGUGAUGGACCGUGGAAGGUGAAUGCUUACUGUUGUUGAGAAACUGAGAACCAAAUAUUAAUAGGCUUUGUCCACAACUCUCCAAGUCAGAUGACGCCGAGACCAAACGAGAUCCUUUGGGGCAUGCCAGUCUGCUUUAUAGAUUGGCUUUUUUGGCCUUGGUCUUCCAAUCUAUAAGCAUCAUCAGGAAAUACCCCAUAGUGUUCAUCUUGUCUAGCUGAAAUAAAGCAUAAGAGUGAAAAAGGAAAAUGUGCAUAUCAGAAAAAGAAAACAUUUACACUCUGGAGAAAACACUGGAGAUAACAGAGGGAGGAAUGUAUAUAGUGGCUGUGACAAGACUUAGACUCAAUCCCAAUACCCCACCUUAGCCCUCACCCUCCGUUUUGCAGCAUCCAACAAGCCCCAUCGAGUCGUAGUGGUAAACCAAUUCAACUUUGAAUGAGGCAUAGUGCCUUUUCA